CAUGCACCCAAACCCAAAGGCCACACCGUGUCCCUGGUGUGGUUUUGUCUGGCGUGCGAACAGAAAACUGAUCCUUGUCGCCUUUCUGACGCUGCGGUGCCUUUGAAAGUGAAAUCAAGGGUCAACAGAU